AUCAUAAACCUCUUGUGGUUUGUAAUAGAUCAGUUCAACACGCCUCAGGGCAACUUUUGAAGCUGCUUUGUAAUCCCCAACUCGUUCCAAAUAUGCUUGGACAUUCUGAGCAAGAACCAUAAACAUUGGCUCAUCUCUGAGUCUUUCAACAUACUCACGUGUAUGUGGGUCAAUACACUGCAAACUCUUAAAAAACUCAGUGUCAAUCCUCUCAACAAAA
rnacentral:misc_RNA from 1 species